rnacentral:tRNA from 1 species
UGUGGGAUGAUGAAAUUUUCGGCAGACAUGCCCCCUUGUCUCGGGGGUGGGGAUUACAGGACAAAGAAGUGAAAACUUGCUAACUGCCCCGUGGAGGUUCGACUCCUCCUCCUACAGCCA